AGUGUGGUAAACUAAAAAAGUUGUAGGAUUCAUUAUCCUGUUAUGGUUUGUAGCCCUACAUUA
rnacentral:tRNA from 1 species